AUGUAGCUCAGUGGCAUAGCACCUGCCUGGUAAGCACAAGGCCCUAGGUUCAAUUCCUGGUAU
rnacentral:tRNA from 1 species